AACGAACGCUGGCGGCAUGCCUAACACAUGCAAGUCGAACGAUGCUUUCGGGCUUAGUGGCGCACGGGUGCGUAACGCGUGGGAAUCUGCCCUUGGGUUCGGAAUAACAGUGAGAAAUUGCUGCUAAUACCGGAUGAUGUCUUCGGACCAAAGAUUUAUCGCCCAGGGAUGAGCCCGCGUAGGAUUAGCUAGUUGGUGGGGUAAUGGCCUACCAAGGCGACGAUCCUUAGCUGGUCUGAGAGGAUGAUCAGCCACACUGGGACUGAGACACGGCCCAGACUCCUACGGGAGGCAGCAGUGGGGAAUAUUGGACAAUGGGCGCAAGCCUGAUCCAGCAAUGCCGCGUGAGUGAUGAAGGCCUUAGGGUUGUAAAGCUCUUUUACCCGGGAUGAUAAUGACAGUACCGGGAGAAUAAGCUCCGGCUAACUCCGUG
rnacentral:rRNA from 1 species